AAAAAUUAUCCAAAAUAAAAAUCCAAAAAAUAGCCACAGACAAUUUUCGAUCAAGUCCAUUAGACGACGCUCGCAUUUUUCACAUGCAUAUCUACUAAUCCAGCCAUAAUCAACGCAAAAUCGCAAGUGGGCCCCCCAACAACUAAAUCAGAAGAGUUACGAGCUACCAAAUAAAACCAUCCAGAAACAAUUGAGUUGACAGUCACCAAAAGCUAAAACGAGCAGCCGAGCAGCCGAGCAGCAGAGCAGCCGAGCAGCCCAGCAGCAGCUACAGUGAUCUAUCGAUCGAUUUGACUCAAGAGGAAGUACUUAAACAGGCUGCUCUUCGUUUCAUACCAGAUAAUCACUGACACAGCUGCAGCCGCAUCGUUAUCAUAACUCUAAUAACUGAAUAUUGGGCCAUUGACAGCAACAACAGCAACAACAACAACUACAACAACAACAACAAGAACAACAAGAACUAAAGAAAACAAUUACCAAUAGCCAAACCGUAACAGUCAUCAAUCUAUCAAAGCUAGCAGGAAUCUGUUUUCACCUAAUUUGGCCAAAUUGACGCAUUUAACAGGGUUUUUUUUCGAUUCGGACAACAGUUUUUCUUCGAAAUUCUCUGAAAAGACAUCAAAAAUAAUCCAAAAAAACAAAAAAAAAAAAACUAUAAAAAACAAAAGGUUUCAAAAAAAAAAACAAAAAACAACAAAUCGAGCGCGCAAAACAAGAGAAGAUAAUUGAAAAAGAUGCAACAACAAUAACUAAAUUAAACAACUGUAAACGACAAUUUUUCUCGAGUUAAAAAAAUAUACAACAACAUUUGUUUGAUAAACAAACAAGAAAAAAACCAAACGACGAAACAAAUCAAAAAAAAAAAAAAAAGAAUAAAAAAAAACCAUACGAACAAGGACAUGAGUCAAUGCAAAAACUAAGCGCCAAAAUUCAAACAGAGAAACGUCCUUUUGAAGCAUUCCACGACCCGAAAUCAAGCUGCGAAAACUUUUCCCGGAAUACAUAUAUAUCAAAAAAAAAAAAAAAAAACCAACCCAACAAGCCCCUAAACUAAAUCCAAAAAUUUCAAGUGUUUUCUAAGGCGAAACGUGACUCCAGAGUUGCCAGAUCAACAACUACAAGAUAAUUUGCUAUUAUACAAUAUAUACGUGUAUAUAUAUAUAUAUACAUAAUUUUUUUUUUGUCGAAAUACCUAAACAAGACGACCCCCCUGCAAAAGUAACACCCCCUCCCAACCGAUCCCAGAGAAUAGUCAAAUACAAAGGAAAAUCUAAUUAAAACAAGCAACCAAUUAAAAAGUGCUCAAACGCGCCGCCGCAGCAAUACGACGCAGUAGUAGAAGAAGAAGAAGAAGAAAAAACAAAGAAGAAGCAACAAGCAGUAAAUACAGCUUUUAAAGAUGGCUUCCGAGCUGGAUCAAUUCGCCGAUUUGGAAUUAUCGAAAGAGGAUCGCGAGCAAAUCUUCGAUCCGCCAUUGGAUCGGCAGCAAUUGGAAGGUGCUGGCACCUCAA